rnacentral:rRNA from 1 species
UAAAAAAAGUUAUUCAUGCAUGUGGUGGAUGCCUUGGGUCUUUGUGUCGAUGAAGGAAGUGCCAGACUGCUUUAAGCCUCGAGGAGCUGUCAAGAAGCGUUAUUACUCGGGGAUUUCCGAAUGGGGAAACCCUACCAAGCUGAGAGCUUGGUAACUCGUUGCUGAAGGUUUGCCGCAAGGUGAAUUAUAGGCAACGUAGAGAGAACUCUGCGAACUGAAACAACUUAGUAGCAGAAGGAAAAUAGACAAAUAUGUUAUUCCCUUAGUAGCGGCGAGCGAAAGGGGAAGAGCCCAAACCCAAGUUUUAAUUAACUUUGGGGGUUCGGAAGAUUCUAGCCGGUUUAACCGGCAGAGAGUUACAAAUCUUUUUUGUAGGAGAAUAUCCCUGGAACGGGAAGCCAUAGCGGGUAAUAGCCCCGUAUCCGAAACGAAAAAGACUCUUGGAUCUUUCCAGAGUAGCACGGGACACGUGUAACCCUGUGUGAAUGUGCGACGCCCACGUCGUAAGGCUAAAUACACAAAGACACCGAUAGUGAACUAGUACCGUGAGGGAAAGGUGAAAAGUACCCCUGGUAGGGGAGUGAAAUAGUAACUGAAACCGCAUGCAGACAAGCUGGUAAAGGUCGCUUUUGCGCAAGCAAGGGUGACUGAUACCGUGCCUAUUGAAGAAUGAGCCAACGAAUUACCUUUGCGUGCUUGCUUAAACCAUAUUAAAUGGUGUAGGCGUAGCGAAAGCAAGUUUUAAUAGAGCGUUGACACUUUAUUGUGUCAGGUACGUUAAGGUAAACCCGAAGCCAAGUGAGCUAACCAUGAGCAGGGUGAAAUCCGCCGAAGGGCGGAUGGAGGCCCGAACCGGUGUAAGUGGAAAAUUGCUCGGAUGACUUGUGGUUAGAGGUAAAACGCUUAUCGAACUUGGCGAUAGCUGGUUCUCCUCGAAAUAUAUUUGGGUAUAGCCUCGGUUAAUAUAGAUUUUGUGAGGUAGAGAUACUGAAAAGGGCUGAGGGACGCAAGUCUACUCACUAUUACCAAACUCCGAAUGCACAAAAUCGUUCACUGAGAGUCAGUAAUGCGGGGAAAUCUCGUGUUACUAAAGGGAAACAACCCAGACCAACGGAUAAGGUCCCUAAUCUUUGCUAAGUGGGGAAGGAAGUGAUGACGUUUAGACAGCUAGGAGGUUGGCUUAGAAGCAGCCAUCCUUUAAAGAAAGCGUAACAGCUCACUAGUUAAACGGCAUCGCGCCGAAGAUUUAACGGGGCUCAAGCAAAGAACCGAAUCCAUGGCUUUGUGUGGUUUACGAACCACAUAAGGGGUAGAGGAGCUUUGAUGUAAUCCACUGUAAAGUGGUGUAGCGAUGAAGGUGUACUCGUGAGGGGCACUGGAGCAGCAUCAAGUGAGGAUGUUGGUAUGAGUAACGAGAGCCAGGCGAAAACCCUGGCCGCCGAAAACCUAAGGGUUCCUCCGCUAUGUCAGUCAUCGGAGGGUUAGUCGGUCCUAAGGCGAGGCCGAAAGGCGUAACUGAUGGACAGCAGGUUAAUAUUCCUGCACUGUUGUAUUACCGUUUUACCAAUGGGGGGACGGAGAAUGCUGGUUUGAGCUGAUUAAGGAUUUCAGUUCCGAAAGCAAGCCCGCUCGUGUAGGCAAAUCCGCACGAGUGUUAUGGGUCAGCCUGGGAAAAGUUUACCGCAAGGUGAGCAAUUCAAGUCAUGCAAUCUUCCAAGAAAAACCUCUAGGGAGGUAAUACAAUAUCCGUACCGCAAACCGACACAGGUAGGUGGGUAGAGAAUACUAAGGCGAACGAGAGAAUCGUGGUUGAGGAACUAGGCAAAUUACAUCCGUAACUUAGGGAAAAGGAUGCCCACCGUUAGCAAUAAUUGGUGGGGGCACAAAAAUGGUUCAAGCGACUGUUUAACAAAAACACAGGUUCCUGCUAAACUCGUAAGAGGAAGUAUAGGGGCCGACGCCUGCCCAGUGCCCGUAGGUUAAAUCCGGAGGUGACUCUGCGUAAGCAGCGAAGCUUUUGGUCUAAGCCCGGGUGAACGGCAGCAGUAACUAUAACUGUUCUAUGGUAGCGUAAUCCCUUGCCGGGUAAGUUCCGGCCUGCACGAAAGGCGUAACGACUUGAGCACUCUCUUAAUCACGAACUCGGUGAAAUUGAACUACCGGUGAAGAUGCCGGUUACUCGUUGUUGGACAAAUAGACCCCAUGGAGCUUUACUGUAGCUUGGUACUGAUAAUUGGUUUGAGCUGUGUAGCAUAGGAGGGAGAUUUCCCCGCUAACGCUGGGAAGUCACCAGUGAAAUACCUCUCUUCUUACACUGAGAAUCUUACUAUCCGCCGUGAUCCGGCGGGAGGACAAUGCCUGGUGGGCAGUUUAUCUGGGGCGGAUUCCUGCUAAAAGGUAACGCAGGAGCCCAAAGGUUCACUUAGCACCGAUGGAAAUGGUGCUGUAAGCGUAAAGGUAAAUGUGAGCUUGACUGCGAGACAUACAAGUCGAGCAGAUGCGAAAGCAGGGCUUAGUGAUCUUCCGUGUGCCUAGUGGUAGGCCCGGAACUUAACGGAUAAAAGUUACCCUGGGGAUAACAGGCUGAUAGUGCCCGAGCGUUCACAGCGGCGGCACUGUUUGGCACCUCGAUGUCGUCUCGUCUCAACCUGGGGCUGAAGCAGGUCCCAAGGGUCCGGCUGUUCGCCGGUUAAAGAGGCGCGUUAGAUGGGUUCAGAACGUCGUGAGACAGUUCGGUCUCUUUCCACAACGAGCGCAAGACUUUGAAAGGACUCAUUCCUAGUACGAGAGGACCGGAAUGAUUAAACCUCUAGUGUACCAGUUGUCCUACCAAGGGCAUCGCUGGGUAGCUACGUUUAAACAAGAUAACCGCUGAAAGCAUCUAAGCGGGAAACUUACCUUAAGAUUAAAGUCUGUUCCGCGCAAGCGGACACAAAUCCUAGGAGAAUACUAGGUUGAUAGGCCGUAGGUGUAAGUACAGCAAUGUAUUCAGCCGAGCGGUACUAAUAUUU